AACGAACGCUGGCGGCAUGCCUAACACAUGCAAGUCGAACGAGACCUUCGGGUCUAGUGGCGCACGGGUGCGUAACACGUGGGAAUCUGCCCUUUGCUUCGGAAUAACAGUUAGAAAUGACUGCUAAUACCGGAUGAUGUCGAAAGACCAAAGAUUUAUCGGCAAAGGAUAAGCCCGCGUAGGAUUAGGUAGUUGGUGGGGUAAAGGCCUACCAAGCCGACGAUCCUUAGCUGGUCUGAGAGGAUGAUCAGCCACACUGGGACUGAGACACGGCCCAGACUCCUACGGGAGGCAGCAGUGGGGAAUAUUGGACAAUGGGCGAAAGCCUGAUCCAGCAAUGCCGCGUGAGUGAUGAAGGCCUUAGGGUUGUAAAGCUCUUUUACCAGGGAUGAUAAUGACAGUACCUGGAGAAUAAGCUCCGGCUAACUCCGUG
rnacentral:rRNA from 1 species